GACGAACGCUGGCGGCGUGCCUAAUACAUGCAAGUUGAGCGAUGAAGAUUGGUGCUUGCACCAAUUUGAAGAGCAGCGAACGGGUGAGUAACGCGUGGGGAAUCUGCCUUUGAGCGGGGGACAACAUUUGGAAACGAAUGCUAAUACCGCAUAACAACUUUAAACAUAAGUUUUAAGUUUGAAAGAUGCAAUUGCAUCACUCAAAGAUGAUCCCGCGUUGUAUUAGCUAGUUGGUGAGGUAAAGGCUCACCAAGGCGAAGAUACAUAGCCGACCUGAGAGGGUGAUCGGCCAGAUUGGGACUGAGACACGGCCCAAACUCCUACGGGAAGCAGCAGGAGGGAAUCUUCGGAAAUGGACGAAAGUCUGACCGAGCAACGCCGCGGGAGGGAAGAAGGUUUUCGGAUCGUAAAACUCGGUUGGUAGAGAAGAACGUGGGUGAGAGUGGAAAGCUCAUCAAGUGACGGUAACUACCCAGAAAGGGACGGCUAACUACGUG
rnacentral:rRNA from 1 species